UACGUAGGGUGCAAGCGUUGUCCGGAAUUAUUGGGCGUAAAGAGCUCGUAGGCGGUUUGUCGCGUCUGCUGUGAAAACUCGGGGCUUAACCCCGGGCCUGCAGUGGGUACGGGCAGACUAGAGUGCGGUAGGGGAGACUGGAAUUCCUGGUGUAGCGGUGAAAUGCGUAGAGAUGUGGAGGAACACCGAUGGCGAAGGCAGCCCCCUGGGCUGACACUGACACUCAGGCACGAAAGCGUGGGGAGCAAACAGG
rnacentral:rRNA from 1 species